rnacentral:rRNA from 1 species
UACGGGAGGCAGCAGUGGGGAAUAUUGCACAAUGGGCGAAAGCCUGAUGCAGCUAUGCCGCGUGUAUGAAGAAGGCCUUAGGGUUGUAAAGUACUUUCAUCGGGGAGGAAAAAACAAAACUAAUAAUUUUAUUUCUUGACGUUACCCGAAAAAGAAGCACCGGCUAACUCCGUGCCAGCAGCCGCGGUAAUACGGAGGGUGCUAGCGUUAAUCAGAAUUACUGGGCGUAAAGAGCACGUAGGUGGUUUUUUUAAGUCAGAUGUGAAAUCCCUGGGCUUAACCUGGAACUGCAUUUUUGAAACUGAAAUACUAGAGUAUCGUAGAGGGAGGUAGAAUUCUAGGUGUAGCGGUGAAAUGCGUAGAUAUCUGGAGGAAUACCUGUGGCGAAAGCGGCCUCCUAAACGAAUACUGACACUGAGGUGCGAAAGCGUGGGGAGCAAACAGGGAUUAGAUACC